GCCAACAGUUUCGAGAUGUAAGGAAUCAACGGCAAGUUAAGGAUCACAAGCACGAUGUUACCAAAGUACAUUGAGAUGAUGACUGACCAGAAGACAUCCGGGUGUUCAACAAACAGGCGAGGGCC
rnacentral:ncRNA from 1 species